GAUGAAGAACGUAGCGAAAUGCGAUAAGUAAUGUGAAUUGCAGAAUUCAGUGAAUCAUCGAAUCUUUGAACGCACAUUGCGCCCCCUGGUAUUCCGGGGGGCAUGCCUGUUCGAGCGUCAUUACAACCCUCAAGCUCUGCUUGGUAUUGGGCCCCGCCAGUUCUGGCGGGCCCUAAAGUCAGUGGCGGUGCCUUCCGGCUCCGAGCGUAGUAAUUCUUCUCGCUCUGGAGACCCGGUUGUGUGCUUGCCAACAACCCCCGAUUUUUUAAGGUUGACCUCGGAUCAGGUAGGGAUACCCGCUGAACUUAAGCAUAUCAAUAAGCGGAGGA
rnacentral:misc_RNA from 1 species